rnacentral:rRNA from 1 species
UACAGAGGGUGCCAGCGUUGUUCGGAAUCACUGGGCGUAAAGCGCGUGUAGGCGGUCUCCUAAGUCAGGUGUGAAAUCCCCCAGCUUAACUGGGGAAGUGCGCCUGAAACUGGGAGGCUUGAGUAUCGGAGAGGGUAGGGGAAUUCCCGGUGUAGAGGUGAAAUUCGUAGAUAUCAGGAGGAAUACCGGUGGCGAAAGCGACUCUCUGGACGGCAACUGGCACUGAGGCGCGAAAGCGUGGGGAGCAAACAGG